UUUAAUACAUGUAAAAGUGAAUAAUAUGGCUGAAACUCUCAAGUUUAUUUAUAAGUACAUCCACCUUUUUAUUUCUCUAUUUCUAUUUCUUGUUGUAGUCAAUGUUUAUGGAAGGAAAAAAGCUCACAAUUUUCAACGUAUACCGUGCCCUGAUCAUAAUAAAACUCUUUACUGCACUCUAAAAAAUUGUUACUGCGCUUAACAAUUAUAUUCAAAAUGGUUGUGGCAAGGCAACUUCGCUUGGGAAAGAGGAGUGUAGGGCUUAUGCCUAGUUAUAUAUAUAUAUAUAUAU